GACGAACGCUGGCGGCGUGCCUAAUACUUGCAAGUCGAGCGAGACUCUUCGGAGUCUAGCGGCGGACGGGUGAGUAACACGUGGGCAACCUGCCUGUAAGACUGGGAUAACACCGGGAAACCGGUGCUAAUACCGGAUAAUCCUUUUCCUCUCAUGAGGAAAAGCUGAAAGUCGGUUUCGGCUGACACUUACAGAUGGGCCCGGGGCGCAUUAGCUAGUUGGUGAGGUAACGGCCCACCAAGGCGACGAUGCGUAGCCGACCUGAGAGGGUGGUCGGCCACACUGGGACUGAGACACGGCCCAGACUCCUACGGGAGGCAGCAGUAGGGAAUCUUCCACAAUGGACGAAAGUCUGAUGGAGCAACGCCGCGUGAGCGAUGAAGGCCUUCGGGUCGUAAAGCUCUGUUGUUAGGGAAGAACAAGUAUCGGAGUAACUGCCGGUACCUUGACGGUACCUAACCAGAAAGCCACGGCUAACUACGUGCCAGCCGCCGCGGUAA
rnacentral:rRNA from 1 species